rnacentral:rRNA from 1 species
AGCUUGCUCCCCGGGGACAGUGGCGAACGGGUGAGUAACACGUGAGUAAUCUGCCCUCGAGCGGGGGAUACUCCGCGAAAGCGGAGCUAAUACCGCAUGAAACUUUGGAGCAUAAGCUUUCAAAGUCAAAGCUUUCGGGUGCUUGAGGAUGAGCUCGCGGCCUAUUAGCUUGUUGGUAGGGUAACGGCCUACCAAGGCAACGAUGGGUAGCCGGCCUGAGAGGGUGUCCGGUCACACUGGGACUGCGACACGGCCCAGACUCCUACGGGAGGCAGCAGUGGGGAAUUUUGCGCAAUGGGCGAAAGCCCUGACGCAGCGACGCCGCGUGGAGGAUGAAGGUUUCCGGAUUGUAAACUCCUGUCAGAGGUGAAGAAAGCCCUUAUGGGUCUGACGGUAACCUCAGAGGAAGCCCCGGCUAACUACGUGCCAGCAGCCGCGGUAAUACGUAGGGGGCAAACGUUGCUCGGAAUUACUGGGCGUAAAGGGUGCGCAGGUGGCUGAGAAAGUCGUUGAUGAAAUCCCGGGGCUUACCCCCGGAACUGUCUUCGAUACUUCUCAGCUUGAGGAUAGUCGAGGAGAACGGAAUUCCCGGUGGAGCGGUGAAAUGCGUAGAUAUCGGGAGGAACACCAGAGGCGAAGGCGGUUCUCUAGGCUGAUCCUGACACUGAGGUACGAAAGCUAGGGGAGCGAACCGGGAUUAGAUACCACGCUAGUCCUAGCUGUAGACGACGAGCACUAGAUGUUUCCGCGUCUCAGCAGCGAGUGUCGAAGAUAACACGAAAUGUGCGCCGCCUGGGGAUUACGCUCUCAAGACUGUAACAUCAAAGGAAUUGACGGGGGCCCGCACAAACGGUGGAGCAUGUGGUUUAAUUCGACGCAACGCGAAGAACCUUACCUGGGCUUGAACUGCUGGGUUUAGCUUCCUGAAAGGGAAGUGAACCUGCUUGCAGGAGACCAGCAGAGGUGCUGCAUGGCUGUCGUCAGCUC